rnacentral:lncRNA from 1 species
GAAGAAGAAGGCAUUCAGAGAUGGAAAUCAAAAUUAGGAAGAAGCUAGAUGUCACUGAAACAAUGACAAAAGGAAACUAAAGGAAAAUGAAAUCAAACAAGACUAGUGAGUGUAAAAGCUGCAGAGAAUCCUUGAAAGGAAGUAGUGAAGUGCCAAAGAGAAGAGGAACAGAGGCAGUGG